GAUGAACGCUGGCGGCGUGUCUAAUACAUGCAAGUCGAGCGAACAGACGAGGAGCUUGCUCCUCUGACGUUAGCGGCGGACGGGUGAGUAACACGUGGAUAACCUACCUAUAAGACUGGGAUAACUUCGGGAAACCGGAGCUAAUACCGGAUAAUAUAUUGAACCGCAUGGUUCAAUAGUGAAAGACGGUUUUGCUGUCACUUAUAGAUGGAUCUGCGCCGCAUUAGCUAGUUGGUAAGGUAACGGCUUACCAAGGCGACGAUGCGUAGCCGACCUGAGAGGGUGAUAGGCCACACUGGAACUGGAACACGGUCCAUACUCCUACGGGAGGCAGCAGUAUGGAAUCUGCCGCAAUGGGCGAGAGCCUGACGGAGCGACGCCGCGUGAGUGAUGAAGAUCUUCGGAUCGUAAAACUCUGUUAUUAGGGAAAAACAACUGUGUAAGUAACUAUACACGUCUUGACGGUACCUAAUCAGAAAGCCCCGGCUAACUACGUG
rnacentral:rRNA from 1 species